rnacentral:rRNA from 1 species
GAUGAACGCUGGCGGCGUGCCUAAUACAUGCAAGUCGAGCGAACAGACGAGGAGCUUGCUCCUCUGACGUUAGCGGCGGACGGGUGAGUAACACGUGGAUAACCUACCUAUAAGACUGGGAUAACUUCGGGAAACCGGAGCUAAUACCGGAUAAUAUAUUGAACCGCAGGGUUCAAUAGUGAAAGACGGUUUUGCUGUCACUUAUAGAUGGAUCCGCGCCGCAUUAGCUAGUUGGUAAGGUAACGGCUUACCAAGGCAACGAUGCGUAGCCGACCUGAGAGGGUGAUCGGCCACACUGGAACUGAGACACGGUCCAGACUCCUACGGGAGGCAGCAGUAGGGAAUCUUCCGCAAUGGGCGGAAGCCUGACGGAGCGACGCCGCGUGAGUGAUGAAGGUCUUCGGAUCGUAAAACUCUGUUAUUAGGGAAGAACAAAUGUGUAAGUAACUGUGCACGUCUUGACGGUACCUAAUCAGAAAGCCACGGCUAACUACGUG